UAUUUGACAACUCCUGGUUGUAGCUCAC
rnacentral:piRNA from 1 species